rnacentral:rRNA from 1 species
UUGAAAGGGAAACGAUUGAAGUCAGUCGUACCUAUGGGUAAUCAGUCUUUUGGGUGUGAUUUUGUGGAGCGUGAGGAGUUAAACGCCUUCAUGCCUGCAUAUUCGUGCACUUUGGGUGUACUUGCCCGUGUGUAAGUUAACAUCAAUUUUGGUGGUCAUAAAAUGGCUGGAGGAAUGUAGCUUCGAUCUUGUAUUGAAGUGUUAUAGCCUUCGGUAGAUGUGACGAUCGGGAUUGAGGAUUGCAACGGAUACCCUUCGGGGCUACCUGUCUGAUCUCUGAUUGUUGCUCUGGUACUGAAAGCUUGCUUACGGUUAUCAAAGUCGAUGGUCAAUAGGUUAGAACGGGUUAAAUUCGUUAAGGAUGUUGACGUA